rnacentral:rRNA from 1 species
GACGAACGCUGGCGGCGUGCUUAACACAUGCAAGUCGAACGGAAAGGCCCUGCUUUUGUGGGGUGCUCGAGUGGCGAACGGGUGAGUAACGCGUGAGUAACCUGCCCUUGACUUUGGGAUAACUUCAGGAAACUGGGGCUAAUACCGGAUAGGAGCUCCUGCUGCAUGGCUGGGGUUGGAAAGUUUCGGCGGUUGGGAGUGGACUCUCGGCUUAUCAGCUUGUUGGGGGGGUAGUGGCUUAACAAGGCUUUGACGGGUAGCCGGCCUGGGAGGGUGACCGGCCAAAUUGGGACUGAGAUACGGCCCAGACUCCUACGGGAGGCAGGAGUGGGGAAUAUUGCACAAUGGGCGGAAGCCUGAUGCAGCAACGCCGCGUGCGGGAUGACGGCCUUCGGGUUGUAAACCGCUUUCGCCUGUGACGAAGCGUGAGUGACGGUAAUGGGUAAAGAAGCACCGGCUAACUACGUG